CGACACUAUGUGUUGUUGGGUAGGGGAGCGUUCUGUAAGCCUGCGAAGGUGUGCUGUGAGGCAUGCUGGAGGUAUCAGAAGUGCGAAUGCUGACAUAAGUAACGAUAAAGCGGGUGAAAAGCCCGCUCGCCGGAAGACCAAGGGUUCCUGUCCAACGUUAAUCGGGGCAGGGUGAGUCGACCCUAAGGCGAGGCCGAAAGGCGUAGUCGAUGGGAAACAGGUUAAUAUUCCUGUACUUGGUGUUACUGCGAAGGGGGGACGGAGAAGGCUAUGUUAGCCGGGCGACGGUUGUCCCGGUUUAAGCAUGUAGGCUGAUUGUCCAGGCAAAUCCGGAUAAUCAAGGCUGAGGUGUGAUGACGAGGCACUACGGUGCUGAAGUAACAAAUGCCCUGCUUCCAGGAAAAGCCUCUAAGCAUCAGGUAACAUUAAAUCGUACCCCAAACCGACACAGGUGGUCAGGUAGAGAAUACCAAGGCGCUUGAGAGAACUCGGGUGAAGGAACUAGGCAAAAUGGUGCCGUAACUUCGGGAGAAGGCACGCUGGUGUGUAGGUGAAGUCCCUGCGGAUGGAGCUGAGACCAGUCGAAGAUACCAGCUGGCUGCAACUGUUUAUUAAAAACACAGCACUGUGCAAACACGAAAGUGGACGUAUACGGUGUGACGCCUGCCCGGUGCCGGAAGGUUAAUUGAUGGGGUUAUCCGUAAGGAGAAGCUCUUGAUCGAAGCCCCGGUAAACGGCGGCCGUAACUAUAACGGUCCUAAGGUAGCGAAAUUCCUUGUCGGGUAAGUUCCGACCUGCACGAAUGGCGUAAUGAUGGCCAGGCUGUCUCCACCCGAGACUCAGUGAAAUUGAACUCGCUGUGAAGAUGCAGUGUACCCGCGGCAAGACGGAAAGACCCCGUGAACCUUUACUAUAGCUUGACACUGAACAUUGAGCCUUGAUGUGUAGGAUAGGUGGGAGGCUUUGAAGCGUGGACGCCAGUCUGCGUGGAGCCAACCUUGAAAUACCACCCUUUAAUGUUUGAUGUUCUAACGUUGGCCCCUGACCGGGGUUGCGGACAGUGUCUGGUGGGUAGUUUGACUGGGGCGGUCUCCUCCCAAAGCGUAACGGAGGAGCACGAAGGUUAGCUAAUCCUGGUCGGACAUCAGGAGGUUAGUGCAAUGGCAUAAGCUAGCUUGACUGCGAGCGUGACGGCGCGAGCAGGUGCGAAAGCAGGUCAUAGUGAUCCGGUGGUUCUGAAUGGAAGGGCCAUCGCUCAACGGAUAAAAGGUACUCCGGGGAUAACAGGCUGAUACCGCCCAAGAGUUCAUAUCGACGGCGGUGUUUGGCACCUCGAUGUCGGCUCAUCACAUCCUGGGGCUGAAGUAGGUCCCAAGGGUAUGGCUGUUCGCCAUUUAAAGUGGUACGCGAGCUGGGUUUAGAACGUCGUGAGACAGUUCGGUCCCUAUCUGCCGUGGGCGCUGGAGAAUUGAGGGGGGCUGCUCCUAGUACGAGAGGACCGGAGUGGACGCAUCACUGGUGUUCGGGUUGUCAUGCCAAUGGCACUGCCCGGUAGCUAAAUGCGGAAGAGAUAAGUGCUGAAAGCAUCUAAGCACGAAACUUGCCCCGAGAUGAGUUCUCCCUGAGACUUUAAGUCUCCUGAAGGAACGUUGAAGACGACGACGUUGAUAGGCCGGGUGUGUAAGCGCAGCGAUGCGUUGAGCUAACCGGUACUAAUGAACCGUGAGGCUUAACCUUACAACGCCGAAG
rnacentral:rRNA from 1 species